rnacentral:rRNA from 1 species
CCUACGGGAGGCUGCAGUGGGGGAUAUUGCACAAUGGGGGGAACCCUGAUGCAGCGACGCCGCGUGAGCGAAGAAGUACCUCGGUAUGUAAAGCUCUAUCAGCAGGGAAGAAAAUGACGGUACCUGACUAAGAAGCCCCGGCUAAAUACGUGCCAGCAGCCGCGGUAAUACGUAUGGGGCAAGCGUUAUCCGGAUUUACUGGGUGUAAAGGGAGCGUAGGCGGCCUGCCAAGUCUGAUGUGAAAUACCGGGGCUCAACCCCGGGGCUGCAUUGGAAACUGGCAGGCUGGAGGGCCGGAGAGGCAGGCGGAAUGCCUAGUGUAGCGGUGAAAUGCGUAGAUAUUAGGAGGAACACCAGUGGCGAAGGCGGCCUGCUGGACGGUGACGGACGCUGAGGCUCGAAAGCGUGGGGAGCAAACAGGAUUAGAUACCCUUGUAGUC